AUUGAACGCUGGCGGCAGGCUUAACACAUGCAAGUCGAGCGGGGUGAUGGUGCUUGCACUAUCACUUAGCGGCGGACGGGUGAGUAAUGCUUAGGAAUCUGCCUAUUAGUGGGGGACAACAUCUCGAAAGGGAUGCUAAUACCGCAUACGUCCUACGGGAGAAAGCAGGGGAUCACUUGUGACCUUGCGCUAAUAGAUGAGCCUAAGUCGGAUUAGCUAGUUGGUGGGGUAAAGGCCUACCAAGGCGACGAUCUGUAGCGGGGCUGAGAGGAUGAUCCGCGAGACUGGGAGUGAGACACGGCCCAGACUCCUACGGGAGGCAGCAGUGGGGAAUAUUGGACAAUGGGGGGAACCCUGAUCCAGCCAUGCCGCGUGUGUGAAGAAGGCCUUAUGGUUGUAAAGCACUUUAAGCGAGGAGGAGGCUCUUUUGGUUAAUACCCAAGAUGAGUGGACGUUACUCGCAGAAUAAGCACCGGCUAACUCUGUGCCAGCCGCCGCCGUAA
rnacentral:rRNA from 1 species